UACGGAGGGUGCAAGCGUUAUCCGGAUUUACUGGGUUUAAAGGGUGUGUAGGCGGGUCUUUAAGUCAGGGGUGAAAUCUCCGAGCUCAACUUGGAAACUGCCAUUGAUACUAUUGAUCUUGAAUUUUGUUGAGGUAGGCGGAAUAAGUCAUGUAGCGGUGAAAUGCAUAGAUAUGACUUAGAACACCAAUUGCGAAGGCAGCUUGCUAAACAAAUAUUGACGCUGAGGCACGAAAGCGUGGGGAUCAAACAGG
rnacentral:rRNA from 1 species